UAGUUGUAGUACGUGAUAGCUCAGAACCCAGUUGUGAUCAGCAACUGUGAGGCAGCCGGAGCGCGGCCUUUGCUUGGGCCGGAGAAUGAAAAUGAUCCUCAGACGAACCAAGGGCCCCGUAAGGAAGUAUACACUACGGAAACACCUUUCGGAUUCCAAGUGAGAACAGAAAUAACAUACAGAGAUGAUCAGCCUCCUCUUACUCGACUGCUCAGGCGUGUGGUAUCAUUCUUUGAUUCUAGUGGCAGCCCGCCUUCUGAAAAGUGAGCUGCCUGAAGGCUCAGAACAUUGUGUUGGGGCUCUGAGAAUGUCAUCCCAGUGCCUUAUGUCAGACCACCACUGGAAAAUUGUCCCUUGCAUUUCUGAAGCAACAGCUCCAUCUUGGACACCGCUCUGCUGGACUUGCCAACCUUCUUGUCCGCUUGGAUCGCUGCUGUUCUUUGUCUGUGUAUUGGAAUUGCUGAACAUGAACUGGGUUCAUCAGGUGUCCUGUGAGGUGGUAAUGAACCUGUGUGCUGCCUGGUGUCCUGCAACCAAUGCUCUGACCAGGUGUGAUUUCCCAGCUGGUGUGCAGGACAUACCCGGAUGAUCCACAAUGUACCUGGGAUGGCUUCUCAACUGAGCAGCUCUGAAAUGGAUACUUGAAGAACAAUUAGUAAAUGGGAAGGAGUGUAGUUUAAUGUUUCAGGUACAAGAGUUCUUACUCAUCCUUCAAAUAAAAGCUUAUGAGGGAUGAAUUACAA